GGGGAAGCCUCUAAACUCACAAGGCAGAGCAGUGGAGCCGUCUCACAGGUGGCGCAGAGCAUGGGGAAUCCUCCUGAUCGAGGUAGAAGGCCCUGUGCCCCGCUGAAGGCCUUUCUGAAUCGUCAGGUGAGGAAGAUGUUUUGAGAGGAACUGACACAGUCUCAGUGAAUACUCAGCACCCAGGAAGAGACAAGCAACAUGCACUCGGGGAAUCAGGAAAGACUGUUUAUUUCACACAGGUGCCAGCCCAGUGAAGUCACCUCCAAAGGCUGAGCGUACUGCUCAGGUUUUACUGAUCUUUUACACAUAUCUGCUUCCGUGUUGGGCUGGACUAGUAUAGUCAAGCUUCUGUUUCCUGACCGCUGGCUGAUUUGAGAGGCAAGCAAUAUUGCAGAAGCCAAAAGCAUACAAGGGGAAUAUCUGGCCUCAGACAUCUGGCUGGUCCUUUUUAAUCUGCUUUUACCAGCUUUACUUCUCACUUGCUUUUAGCCUGCUUUUAUAAGUUUUUGUUGAAAGCUAGACAUGAUGUGUUGGCUAUCGGAGGUGUAUGGGCCUUUAGUGUGAAGUUUCAUGUGAAUCUUGUUGCAUCCACACGACUCCUGAAACAGAAUGCUGUGGGCACCAGUGACAGUCACAACAAAGUUUAUUACAAUGAGAGGCAAGGCCAACACUCUUGAUAAGAGUGCGGCCCUGAACAGCCGGGGCACAGAGUUUUUAAAGCCGAUCACAUCGUUUUAUCAUCACCUGGGAACAGAACAAAGAAAGUUUCCAGAUGAGUCAGAAACAGU